rnacentral:rRNA from 1 species
CAUGACCGGCGAACGGGUGCGUAACACGUGAGCGACCUGCCCUUCCGCGGGGAUAGCCGGGCCAACGCCCGGGUAAUACCGCAUACGUUGUCCUGGGGGCAUCCUUGGGACAAGAAACUUCCGGGGCGGAGGGAGGGGCUCGCGGCCUAUCAGCUAGUUGGGGGGGUAACGGCCUCCCAAGGCGACGACGGGUAGCUGGUCUGAGAGGAUGGCCAGCCACAUUGGGACUGAGAGACGGCCCAG